UCCCAUAUUGUCUAGUGGUUAGGAUACCUGGGUCUCACCCAGGAGGCUCGGGUUCAAUUCCCGGUAUGGGAA
rnacentral:tRNA from 1 species